rnacentral:tRNA from 1 species
UCCUCGGUAGCUCAAUAGGCAGAGCGACCGGCUGUUAACCGGUUGGCUGUAGGUUCGAGUCCUACCCGAGGAGCCA